AGAAACCUUUGCAAUGUGCGAAAACACGACAAGGUUAAUCCGAGUGUCUCCUGCUAAAGGAGUCUUUUGUCAGUUGUAGAAUCACUGGUGAAUAAGGGGUGGGCAAGUUCUGGUGUCAGCCGCCGCGGUAAAACCAGCACCUCGAGUGGUCAGGAGGUUUAUUGGGCCUAAAGCAUCCGUAGCCGGUUGCAUAAGUUUUCGGUUAAAUCUAUGCGCUUAACGUAUAGGCCGCCGAAAAUACUGUGCAGCUAGGGAGUGGGAGAGGUACACGGUACUCGAUAGGAAGGGGUAAAAUCCUUUGAUCUAUUGAAGACCACCUGUGGCGAAGGCGGUGUACCAGAACACGUUCGACGGUGAGGGAUGAAAGCUGGGGGAGCAAACCGGAUUAGAUACCCGGGUAGUCCCAGCUGUAAACGAUGCAGACUCGGUGAUGCAUUGGCUUGUGGCCAAUGCAGUGCCGCAGGGAAGCCGUUAAGUCUGCCGCCUUGGAAGUACGUACGCAAGUAUGAACUUAAAGGAUUGGCGGGGGAGCACCACAAGGGGUGAAGCCUGCGGUUCAAUUGGAGUCAACG
rnacentral:rRNA from 1 species